rnacentral:rRNA from 1 species
GCUGUUAAGGGUUCGUAGUUGAAUACGGAGAUGUGAGUUUUCGCAAGUUCGCUUGCUCUUCUUCCAACUCUGUCAUAGACGGGACCGGAGCCUUGCGGACGCGCUCCUUCACUGGAGUGCGAUGCUGUUAGCUGAAGAGGUUAACAUAUCGCAUGCGACGCAUGCUUGGCCGCCCGUCGUUUCACUGUGAAGAAAACAGCGUGUUCAAGGCAGCCGCUUGCGGUUGUAUGACAAAGCUGGAAUGACAAAGUAUCGACCAAUGGGUCCGUCUCUUGUCGGUUUUUACGAUCCAUUUGGUAAUUUGUUUUCAAAGCCUUCCGCUCACUGUUCGCAGUGUCGGAACUUUGAUGAACACGGGUUAAUGGGGGUUGUCGGGGGAAAACGUAUCUGAGCGUGAGAGGUGAAAUUCUUAGCCGCUCGGGGACGAACUUAUGCGAAGGCAUUUUCCAAGUAUACCUUCAUCAAUCAAGAACUAAGUGUGGAGAUCGAAGAUGAUUAGAUACCAUUGUAGUCC